UCAUAUGACUGGUUCGCGUACCUCAAACUUGGGUAAUUAAACCCCCAGCAACGUUGAGUCCAGUUAGUACUUGGAUCGGAGACGGCCUGGGAAUCCUGGAUGUUGUAAGCU
rnacentral:rRNA from 1 species